UACGUAGGGUGCGAGCGUUGUCCGGAAUUACUGGGCGUAAAGAGCUCGUAGGUGGUUUGUCGCGUUGUCCGUGAAAACUCACAACUCAAUUGUGGGCGUGCGGGCGAUACGGGCAGACUGGAGUACUGCAGGGGAGACUGGAAUUCCUGGUGUAGCGGUGGAAUGCGCAGAUAUCAGGAGGAACACCGGUGGCGAAGGCGGGUCUCUGGGCAAUUCCUGACGCUGAGGCGCGAAAGCGUGGGGAGCAAACGGG
rnacentral:rRNA from 1 species